rnacentral:rRNA from 1 species
UACGUAGGGCGCGAGCGUUGUCCGGAAUCAUUGGGCGUAAAGCGCGUGUAGGCGGCUAAGUAAGUCUGCUGUGAAAGUCCAGGGCUCAACCCUGGGAUGCCGCAGAUACUGCUUGGCUAGAGUACGGGAGGGGCGAGUGGAAUUCCUGGUGUAGCGGUGGAAUGCGCAGAUAUCAGGAGGAACACCUAUGGCGAAGGCAGCUCGCUGGAACGUUACUGACGCUGAGACGCGAAAGCGUGGGGAGCAAACAGG